CAGUAUCAUUUUAUUGGUUAAACAAACAUGUACCUUAAUAUUGCAUAUGUUGUUGUGUUUGUUUAUUUACAUAUAUUUUUAUAUAUUGUGACACAAGUUGAACUAGAAUCUUUUACGUGGCCCUUGUAGCUUGCAUGCUGGAAAUCCUCCUCAGCACCCUCUUGGAUUUUGAAUUGUGGAUGAGGUGAAGGUGAUGAUGAUGAUGAUGGGAAGUGUACUAGAAACUACUGAGGAUAAUGGUGAUGAUCAUAGAGAUGUAUGAUUGGGGUGAGUAUAGUGAUGAUGAUCUGUUGUGAUGAGGUUGUAUAAG
rnacentral:lncRNA from 1 species